UAUAAUACCUUGUAAUCCUAGUCCGGCAACGGAUACGAGUUAGGGGCGUUACACAUACCACUAUGGUCUUUGGACAUUUAACAAGGAAUAGUUGUACCCUUAAACUUUCUUGGCUAAGGACAUACACGUUGUAAACGGGCCAAUUUGCCCGAGCCCACGUUAGAACCAAAAUACAAAAUAAAGAAACAAAAAAACCAAUAAUUAAUUAAAUGUCCUGUUAUAGUCCAAAUUAAAUGUCCUGUUAUAGUCCAAAGCCCAAAAUUAAUUCAAGACCUUAAAACCCAAAUAACCCCAAAUUAAAGACCCAAAUAUCCUACAGCAAAAUACCCAAUCCCAAUUACAUGACCCUAUAACUAAUACCCUAGCCCAUUUACAAAACAAUCCAAAGCCUCAAGGCCCAAAUGGCCCAAAAACUAAAACUGCUUCAGCAACCCUAGGUCACCCCUCCCUUCUUUGCGUUGUAGUCGAGGCCCUAGCGCCAUACGCUCCGUAUCGUCAGCAGCCACGCCCGCGCCAGCACAGCCUCCGUACGAUGCCAAUGCAUACCCCGUACCUGCUAGUAAGCCAAAACAACAGCAGCAACACGAAAACAAAAGGAAAAAUUGUAUUUUUUACUUUUUUUUGGAACAUUCGGCUAUAAAAGCCUACUAUCUUUGAUUGUAAAGUUUUUUUCAGAGGAAUACACGCACAUUUUUGCAUAUUGAAUACAAAGAAAAUAAAUCAAAACCUUGAAAAGGUGAUUAUUCGGCUUUGGACCUUCUUUCCUGUUUGUUUUCAUCUUCUUUUCUUAUUGUUUGGUUGCACAUACUGUUAUUUCGAGCAUAAAAAGGGGUAAAAGGGAGCAAAGGGGUUACCUAUACGCAUGAACCGCCGGAAUCCUCGUCUCCUUCACUUUAAUCGAAGUCGGGAUGAGGUGUAAGGGCUGAAAUCGGAAGUCCUUAAAGCAAGGACCCAAGCAGGGUCGGCGAGAGUACAAAUCUCCCUCCGUCGAUCACCGUUCGGGGUGGUCAAGUGGCGGCUAGGACCUCUUGAGAUUCAAACAGAAGGAGGGGAUUAGGUUUCGGCUGAGGAGAAAGGAUUGGGGGGCUAGGGUUUGAAUGAUUGUUUCAGUUUCAGCUCUUUUAAAGGGACAAAUACGACGCCGUUUCGAGCCUGUUUCAGUGGCUCAAAAACGACGUCGUUUGGUAAGAGCCCCGACCCGAUCCAGUUUGCUGUCCCAAGGACCCACGCAUUUUUUCGGUAAGGGUUUAUUUGCAAUAUCAGUCCUUCCCCUUUCGCGCCGUUUUCAAAUCAGUUAUAGACGUAUCUCCUUUUCUUUUAAAUUUUCCCUAUACUUUGUGUGCGUUCGCAUUUUGGUCUGCGCUUGUGUGCUGCGUUUUGGGGGCCUGGAAUAUUUCCAGUUCGAGUCCCUACAUAACUGCGCGCAUUACCUAUUGGCCCUCUUACCAUUAUUGAUUUAUUUUUGAAUUACCCCUUUUGCUUUAGUUUAAUUUUAAUUAAGUCUUUUUUAUUUUAUAACCGUUUUUAUUCUUAUUUAUUUAUUUGUACAUUUUCAAACAAAUUUGGUAAUUGUUUCUUCAUUAUUGUAAAUUUGUUUUUGUAAUGUUAUUAUCACAUUUUGUAUACUUUAAAUGUUUAUUUCCUUUAUAUUAUUAUACAUAUACAUAUAUAUUAUAAUAAAGUUAAUGUAUUUUCAUACAUAUAAUGACUUUUGACUCUAUCCAUGUAUUUUAGCAUAUAUUUUUAUUCUACCAUGUUUCGUAUACAUGCUUUGCAUAAAAUUAUUUUUAUACUUACUUAUACUAGUACACAUAUUUGAUUUAUAUACAUUAUUAAACCUAUACAUAUUAUCAUUUCUAUGUUAAUUUACAUGUACUUACUUUUAGAUUUACAUGUAUAUAUAUUAAUACACUUAUUACUUUAAUAGAUUUUUUUUUCUAUUUUAAAACACUUUUUGCUCUAUGAUUUGUCAAGUAUUUUCUUUAUGUAUAUAUGAAACAAUUUUAGAAACUUCAUUUUUGUAAUUAUAAAAUUAUUAUUUUUGAAUAUUUCCUUAUAUUAUAUUGCUUUUGCGUUUUAUAUAGCCUAUUAUUUAAAUGUUUUGAUAUAAAGGUAUGUAUAAUUUUUAGACUAACAUAAAAUUUAUAUAUAUUAUUAUUAAUCUCAUGAUCUUUUUACAAUAAAUUUACGUACAUAUUUUUUAUAAAUCUAUUUUGUGUAUUAUGUCUUGUCAUGUAUCUUUAUUAUUCUUUUGUAUCAUAUAUUAUUUAAAUUAUCAUGUACUUUGUAAACCUAUAAAUGAAUUUGUGUUUAAAAUAUUUUACAUUCAAUUUGAUUCAAACUUUUAUUCUAUAAUAUUUAUUUCAAUAAUUAUGCACUCUUAGUUUCUAUGCAAAUUUGUCAACUUAUCUAUUAUGUAUUUUAAAAAUAUUCAUUCUACAAUAUAUAUUCUAAUGAUUGCAUGUGUAUAUUAAGCUUGUCUUUACAAAUGUUUUUCAAUUUAUCAAUCCAUUAAUUCAUAUAGUGUGUAUCGUGUACUUAUCAUUGUUUUAAAAUAGUUUUAUACCAUAUUGCUUCUUCGUUUUGCAUUUAGUUUUGUGCAUCUAGUAGUAAUCAUUUUAUAUUAUGCCAUGUAUGCUGUCAUUACAUAUUAUUUAUUCAUUGCUUUAUAUUGUCAUGUUAAUUAUUCUCUAUGCAUGAUCGAAAUUGAGUUAUAUUUCCAAGUUAGUUAAAAUUGAGUUAUAUUUCCAAGUUAGUUAUACUUAGUUCUUUAAGUGCUUGUUAGUUGAUUAAAUAAAUUGCAUUAUCUUCAUUCUUCCAUUGUCAUACUUUUAUGCGUACAUGUAUUAUCCCAUAUCAUUGUUUUCCACUUGGUUUAUGAAAUGUGGUUUUAUAAAAUCUAAAUUUUUAUGAUUAAUUUCGUCUUAUUUCAAAUCGAAUUAAUGCGUUUUAAGCUAGUUUCACAAUUAUUUAAGAAUUCUUUAAAAUGAAGGCGAUAUUCGAUAUUUGGUAAUUCGCGGAAUCGUGCCCUAACAUGUUGGGUUGCAAUUUCUCGUUUGCUCAAAGUAAUCGAAGGUCCCUUUAGAAUUUCACCCAUGUCUUUUAAUAAUUCUUUAAACGAAGGCGAUGUUCGAUAUUUGGCAAUUCACGGAAUCGUGCCCUAUCGUGCUGGGUUGCAAUUUCUCAUUUGUUCAAAAUAAUCAAAGGUCCCUUUUGAAUUUCACUUAUGUUUUCUAAAAACUCUUCAAAACAAAGGUAAUAUUCGAUGUUUGGCAAUUCGGAGAAUCGUGCCCUAUCGUUCUGGGUUUCAAUUUCCUGUUUGUCCAAAAUGAUCGAAGAUUCCUUUAGAAUUUCACUCAUACUCUCUAAAUUCUAAAAUAAGGCAAUGUCUGACAUCUAGAAAUACGAGGAAUCAUGCCCUACUGUGCUGGGUUUCGAUUUUCUCGUUGGACUAAAUAAUUGGGCAUCCUUUUGAGGUUUUCAACGUAUAAAUUUUUGGAAGUCAAAAUUUGUCAUGUUUUCGAGGGUAUAAAGGAUCAUAUCCUAUCGUGCUAGAUGUGGUGCUAUAUUCCUCUUAAGCAAGAGAAUUUUGAUGACCAACUCGGGUUAUUCAAAUAUUAUCAUAAAGGGAACCACAUUUUAAAAACAUUUUUAAAUCUUAGACAUAAGAACAGUAUUUAAUCGAUUUGGUACCAAUUUUGGGCGUAGUGAGGGUGCUAAUCCUUCCUCAUGUGUAACCGACUCCCGAACCCGUUUUUCUCAAAAGUUCGUAGACCAAAAUCAUUGUUUUAGUAAACUAAAAUGUUUUAUUAAAAUAACCAAAUCCUUAGGUGAUCCGAUCACACCAAAACAGAAAGAUCGGUGGCGAUUCCAUUUCCGUAUUUCAAAAAGUCGAUUCUCCAUUUUUUUAUUAAAUUAAAAUUUUUUUAAAAGAUGGUUUCGACAACUUGGCGACUCUACUGGGGAUCGAUCGAGAAAGUCAAGCCAUAAAAUUGAUUGUUUGUUGUCCUUUUGUCAAAAAUCAAAUAUUUAUUUUAAAAAUAAUGUGUUUUCCAAAUGCAUUUGUUCGUGUGGUUGUUAUGGUUCGGGUCUCGUAAAACAAUAUUACAUUGCAUUGCAUGACCGCUGUGGACACACCUUCUAAGUGGGAGUAAGAAACUAUGCUUUUGUGAGGUUUUCACCUCCUCAUGGGCAAGUGGAUUGCUUCCGGGGUACAUCCGUACCUAUGAUUUCGUGAGAUUUUCAUCUCCGCAUGGUCAUAGGGAAAUGUAUCCCCAUGAAUCAAACUCGAUCUAUAUGAGCCUAUAAUGGGUAAGGAUUGAGGAAUCUGCUGGUUCGGGUACCUUAUCUCUAGAACCAAACCACAUAUAGUGAACCUUAAGAGCUAUCCUUGGAUGGAGCUGCAUCAAGCCUUAGUAUUUACCCGUAUAUACGUUGUAAUUAUUGCUUAUGUGCUUGCAUUUUAUCACUAUUAUUUGAUACUAACCUGUGUUUUGUUUUGAUUGUGUUUUGCAUGACAUUGCAUACUAAAGGAGGUGUUGAUUCGUAUUCAAUUACUAAGUUAGAAAGUUUGACAUGGAGAAUGAAUUUCUUAGUAAAGUCGAGGAUAAUGCCGCCGUUCGUGCAUGGUCAGAAGGGUUACAAUCAGAGAAAGGAGAUAGCUUGGCAGAAGGGUAUACAUCAGAGUUGCAAGGUUAACAAUGACCAGCUAUUAAUUCACUACUUUCAAGAUAGUCUGGUUGGGGUGGUAUCUAAGUGGUAUAACCAAUUAAGCCGCGCUAAAAUUAACUCAUGGAAAGACCUGACUCAGGCAUUUAUGAAACAAUAUAAUCAUGUGACAGACAUGACCCCCGACAUGAUUACUCUCCAAAAUAUGGAGAAGAAAUCAAAUGAAAGUUUCAGACAGUACGCACAAAGAUGGAGAGAAGUGGCCAUACAAGUUCAGCCGCCACUUUUAGAAAAGGAAACCACGAUGCUUUUUAUCAACACCUUGAAGGCCCCUUUUAUCAUUCAUAUGUUAGGAAGUGCCACCAAGAGCUUCUCGGACAUAAUAAUUACGGGUGAAAUGAUUGAAAAUGCUGUGAGGAGCGGAAAGAUAGAAGCAGGAGAAAGUAACAGAAAGUCGACCCUAAGGAAAAAAUAUAAUGAAGUGAAUAAUACGAGUACAUUCAGUAAGGGCUAGUCCAAGUCAUUCACCAUAAAUCAACCCAAGACGGUGACCACAAACCAAUAUAGCACUGUGAGACAAGAAUCCAACGCGAGGGAGAACACAGAAAGGCCACAAUUCACCCCUAUACCCAUGACGUAUAAGGAACUAUACCAGAACCUGUUCAACGCUCAUGUAGUGUCCCCUUUUUACCUGAAGCCACUAUAGCCCCCGUAUCCCAAAUGGUAUGACACAAACGCCCAAUGUGUAUACCAUGCGGGGAAUCACCGGGAAAUCAAUCCAAAACUGUACUGCGCUUAAGAAAGUAGUCGAAAGACUCAUUAAAAUGGGGAUUGUGAGGUUUGACGACCCAGCCAUACCCAAUGUAACAGAAAAUCCACUCUCCAAUCAUGCCGACCAAGGAGUGAAUAGGAUAAAAAAAGGCAGGAACAAGAGGAUCAAAAAUGAGGUUUCAGAAGUCAGGACCCCAUUGAGACGGGUGUGGAAGGAGAUGGUCAAGAGAGGAUUGAUCGCGUUGGAUUCAAGAAAAGAAUCUGAAGAAGGGAGGAACUACUGCGAGUUUCACAACAAGGUGGGGCAUGAAAUCCAAGAGUGUGUGGAAUUCAGGGCCCUCGUGCAGGACAUGAUAAAUAAUAAAGAAAUGGAGUUUUAUGAAAAAACUAAAAACCCCGGAGAGGGAGAUAUAUGUGCAUCGGAGGGAGAAUCGACGGUACAGAAUCAAACGGUUAACUAUCCCGUGGUCAUCAUAUCACGACCCAAAAGUAAUGAAGCUAGAGUGCAAAUGCCAUCGAUGGUCAUAAUCCAACGAUCUGCAGUCUUUCCCUACAAAGACAGCAAAAGAGUCCCAUGGAAUUAUGAUUGUAACAUGACGAUUCCGAGAAAGGAAAGCCUAGUUGACGCCUCAAAAGAGGACCAAGAUAGGGGCUCCUAUACACGUAGCAGGAAACGUUAAGAUACAAUAAGCAAAAAGGCAUAACCCGUAAAAAGAAAAGCCCUAGUGGUCAAAGAGAUGAAGGAAAAAGCGACCAAGUCUGAACUUCCUGUCAAUGAGCCAGUUAACGAGGAGGAGGCUAAGGAGUUUCUAAAAUUCCUAAAGUACAGCGAGUACAGCGUAGUGGAAUAGCUACGUAAGCAACCAGCUCGCAUCUCGGUAUUGGCCUUACUCCUGAGUUCGGAAGUCCACCGCAGCGCACUGAUGAAGGUCUUGAAUGAAACAUAUGUUGCCAAUGAUAUCUCCGUCAACAAGCUGGAUUGCUUGGUUAGCAACAUAAGUGCCGACAACUAUAUCUUCUUCAAUGACGACGAGAUACCACCCGGUGGUAUGGGGUCAACUAAAGCUUUGCACAUUACCACGCGUUGUAAGGGGUAUACGCUGUCAGGCGUACUGAUUGAUAAUGGAUCAGCCUUGGACGUCCUGCCAUUGACUACACUAAAUAGAUUACCCAUAGACAGCUCUCACAUGAAGGAGUGCCAGAACAUAGUGAAAGCAUUAGAUGGCACAGAGAGGAGGGUGAUGGGCCGAAUCGAGGUACCUCUUCAGAUCGGGCCAAACACAUAUGAGGCGGAUUUCCCAGUGAUGGAUAUCAAGCCCUCAUACAAUUGCUUAUUGGGGAGGCCCUGGAUACAUUCAGCUGGGGCAGUGCCUUCAUCGUUGCAUCAAAAGUUGAAGCUGGUAUCAGAGGGGCGGUUGAUAACGAUCAAUGCUGAAGAGGAUAUCAUUGCAACUGUAAGCAGUAAUGCACCCUAUUUGGAGAUAGAUGAUGAAGUAAUCGAAUGCUCAUUUCGGUCUUUGGAAUUUGUUAAUGCGACGUUCAUCGCCGAGGGAGGCAAGAUUCUGAUGCCAAAAUUGUCCAAAACUACGAGGAUGAGUCUACAGUUGAUGGUUGGAAAAGGGGCCCUACCCGGAAGAGGACUUGGGAGGCAUCUCUAAAGAAAGAUUGAAACGCCGGUAUUGAAGGACAAGAGAGAUCGCUUUGGCUUGGAAUUUAAGCCAGAUGCAAGACAAAGGAGAAGGGAGCCGGAAAAGAAGCAAGAAAGAAGGAGAGCAUGGUUAACCGGGGAGAAAAUCAAAUAGGAGCCAAUAAUAUUCCCCCACAUAUCAAAAACUUUUGCGUCCGGAGGAAUCAUUCAUCCUGAGCGGGGCAUGCCAAGAAAGGAAGACAUAGAAGAAAUGUUGGAAAGCUUGGACAUCAAUGCCACAUACGAAGAAGAGACUGGAGGAGAAAACUUGUCGGGUAUUUGCCCCUACAUACCUGGGAGUGUUCUGGAUAACUGGACUGCGGAAGAGAUUCCUAUAGUUUUUAGAACUGACUCAGAGUAAUGUCCAAAACACAAUUAUUGCUCUAGGCCUAGGAGUAAUAAGAAUCUUUUGUGAAAUAGGCUUAUGUUUAAAAACGUUAUUUCAAUAAAAUGCACAGUUAUUAUCAUUUUGAGCAGAUGUUCUUUCAUUCUUUCAAUUUCGUUCAUAAUCAUAUUAUACGAACGAUUACUUUCGGAUUCUUUUGUUAUUUGAACAUUCUUCUAAAUAUUCUUUCAUUCUUCAUUCAUAAUCAUACCGUACGGAUAAGUGUUCUUGAAUUCUUUUGAUUCUUUGUAUCUUCCUUCAUCCUCAUAACAGGUCCCCAGAUAUCAAUGAUACGAGUGACACUGCUAGUGGCACAGAAUCUCCUUUUGAGCGACAUAUGUGUAUGGAGGAUUCUCAGGAUUUCGAAGAUGACCAAGGCUGUAACCUAUCUCCUGAUUUAUUGAGGAUGGUAGAACAAGACGAGAAACAAAUCCUACCUCAAAAAGAAUCAGUAAAAAUCGUGAGUUUAGGAGAGGGACAAGAGGUGAAGAUCGGAACUUGUAUUACCAUGGAAAUGAAGCGAGACCUUAUUGAAUUACUUCAAGAAUUCAAAGAUGUCUUCGCAUGGUCAUACCAAGAUAUGCCUAGGUUGGACACUGAUAUCGUGGUAUACCGACUCCUCAUAAAAGAAGAAUGUAAGCCAGUUCAGCAAAAACUCCGAAGAAUGAGACCCGACAUCUUGCUAAAAAUAAAAGAAGAGGUUCGAAAGCAGUUCGACGCUGGAUUUCUAAAGGUGGUAAAAUACUCAGAUUGGGUAGCCAAUAUCGUCCCCGUCCCUAAGAAGGAUGGAAAAGUAAAAAUGUGUGUGGACUACAGAGAUUUGAACAAAGCCAGCCCGAAAGAUAAUUUCUCAUUGCCUCAUAUUGACACCCUAGUGGACAACACGACAGGACACUCACUGUUUUCAUUCAUGGACGGUUUCUCCGGAUAUAACCAGAUCAAGAUGCAUCCUGAGGACAUGGAUAAGACCAUAUUUUUAACCAUGUGGGGCAUGUUCUGCUACAAGGUGAUGCCGUUUGGACUGAAGAAUGCGGGGGCAACAUAUCAAAGGGCCAUGGUAACCCUUUUUCACGACAUGAUGCAUAAGAAAAUCGAAGUUUAUGUCGAUGAUAUGAUCUCAAAGUCCCGAACCGAGAAGGAGCACGUACAAGUCCUGAGGAAGUUGUUCUUAAGGUUGAGGAAGUUCCAAUUAAAACUCAACCCCGCCAAAUGUACCUUCGGAGCCAAGUCUGGAAAGUUGCUCGGAUUCGUGGUUAGUGAAAAAGGGAUUGAGAUUGAUCCAGACAAAGUCAAAGCCAUACAAGAGCUAUCUCCGCCGCGUACCCAAAAAGAGGUUCGAGGCUUUCUAGGAAGAUUAAAUUACAUUGCUCGGUUCAUUUCAUAAUUAACCGAGAAAUGUGACCCUGUCUUCUGCCUCCUCAAGAAACACAACCCAGGUGAAUGGGAUGAAAAAUGUCAAAGGGCUUUCGAAAAGGUCAAACAGUACUUAUCCAACGCUCCGGUGUUGAUGCCACCUAGCCCCGAUAGGCCAUUGAUAUUGUACCUGGCGGUAUUUAAGAAUUCCAUGGGAUGCGUACUAGGUCAGCAUGACGAGUCAGGAAGGAAAGAAAGAGCUAUUUACUACCUUAGUAAAAAGUUCACUUACUGUGAGACAAGGUACCCACCGGUAUAGAAGCUGUGUUGUGCCCUAAUUUGGACAACCCAAAGGCUGAGGCAGUAUAUGUUGUAUCACACUACUUGGCUCAUCUCAAAACUGGACCUCUUGAAAUACAUGAUGGAGUCAACAGCUUUGAAUGGAAGGAUGGCCAGAUGGCAAAUUUUGCUCUCUGAAUUUGACAUAGUUUAUGUGAACCAGAAAGCAGUAAAAGGGAGUGCAAUAGCAGAUUUUCUAGCCAGUAGAGCUUUAGAAGAUUACGAGCCUUUGAACUUCGAUUUCCUGAAUGAAGACCUGAUGUGUGUUGCGACUAUUGAAGAAGGUGCUCCGGAAGAACUUCCUUGGAAACUAAACUUCGAUGGGGCAUCAAAUGCCGUGGGUAAUGGAAUCGGGGUAGUCUUAGUAUCCCCAAACGGAGAUCAUUAUCCAUUCACCAGUAAAUUGGAUUUUGAUUGUACGAAUAACAUGGCGGAAUACGAAGCGUGCAUAAUGGGUAUCCGUGCAGCCAUAGAACGCAAGAUUAAAGUGUUAGAGGUUAUGGAGAUUCUUCGCUAGUGAUUUAUCAACUCAAGGGAGAAUGGGAGACUAAAGACCCCAAGUUAAUUGAUUAUCAGAAACUAGUCCUUGAAUUGAUUAAAGAGUUCGAUGACAUUACUUUCUGCUACCUUCCACGGGACGAAAAUCAGAUGGCCGAUGCUUUGGCCACUUUGGCUUCCAUGAUCAAGGUGAACAAACAAGAAGAUGUCAAACCCAUCCGGAUGAGCAUUUAUGAAACUCCGGCCCACUGUUAUAAUAUCGAAGAAAAUGAAGAAAAAGAUGACCACCCUUGGUAUCACGAUAUAUUGCAAUAUGUGAAGAACAGUGAGUGCCCGGACCAGGCAAGCGAGAAUGACAAAAGGACACUGAGAAGAUUGGCCAUUGACUAUGUCUUAGAUGGGGAGAUCCUGUAGAAAAGAAGAAAGGAUCAAGUGCUAUUAAGAUGCGUAGAUGUUGUAGGGGCUAAGAAAAUCUUGGAAGAAGUCCAUGAAGGCGUCUGUGGGACACACGCUAAUGGCUUUACAAUGGCCAGACAAAUUAUGAGAUUCGAGUAUUAUUGGUCCAUUAUGGAAGGAGACUAUGUAAAUUACACCAAGAGAUGUCAUAAAUGCCAAAUUUAUGGAGACAAAAUUCAUGUGCCUCCUUCAUCGCUGCAUGUCAUGACUUCUCCAUAGCCUUUCUCUAUGUGGGGUAUGGAUGUGAUUGGACCAAUAUCGCCAAAGGCUUCCAAUGGGCAUCAGUUCAUCUUUGUGGUUAUCAACUACUUCGCCAAAUGGGUAGAGGUUGCUUUAUAUGCCAAUGUUACAAAGUCGGCAGUGAGUAAAUUCCUGAAAAUAGAGAUCAUAUGUCGAUAUAGAAUGCCGGAGUGGAUCAUAUCUGACAAUGCAUUAAACUUGAACAACAAUACGAUAGCGGAAGUCUGCAGUCAAUUUAAGAUUAGACACCACAACUCGUCACUGUAUCACCCGAAAAUGAAUGGGGCCAUGGAAGUGGCUAAUAAAAACAUUAAAAAGAUUGUAGGGGAGAUGACUGAGACCUACAAAGAUUGGCAUGAGAAGUUACCAUUUGCCCUCUUUGUUUAUCGAACAUUAGUUAGAACCUCAACUGGGGCAACCCCUUUCUCUUUGGUCUACCGAAUGGAGGUGAUUUUGCCGAUUGAAGUCGAGAUCCCAUCCUUUCGAGUUUUGUUGGAGUUAAAGUUGGAUGAAGCAGAAUGGAUUCAGUCUCGGUACGACCAAUUAAACUUGAUUGAGGAAAAGAGGCUAAGAGUUAUCCGUCAUGGUCAGAUGUAUCAAAAACGAAUGAUGCGGGCUUACGACAAAAAGGUUCGCCCUAGAGAAUUCCACGAGGGAGACCUGGGUUUGAAAAAGAUCUUUCCCAUACAGAAGGAUUUUCGAGUAAAAUGGAUGCUUAAUUGGGAGGGGCCUUACGUGGUGAAGAAAGCUUUCUCCGGAGGAGCAUUGAUUCUAGCCGAGAUAGAUGGUAGAAACUUGCCCAAUACUGAAAAUUCGGAUUCGGUCAAGAAGUAUUUUACCUAAAGAAGGAGAAAACCCGCAAUGGGCGCUUUGAGACAAAAAAAAAGAUGGAGAGGCCAAUGUGAAAACCCGCAAAAGGCACUUUGAGACCAAAUGGGUUUUUGAGUUGAAAACCUUAAAACGGGCAGCUCAAAUUUUGAAUGUGGGGCAUGUGGUAAUCUUGUCCUCCCAAAAUUAACAAGAAGGAAUAACAGUACAUCUUGGAGCAUCAACAAAAUACGCGGGAUCUCCUGAACACACAUUUGGUUCGAAGGAGCCUUUGAGAAAUUUGAAUAGUGAAACUCGUGCUGCGAUAUCUAGGGAACCUCUUUUCUUAUUUUAUUUUGUGCCUUAGCAAAUUUGCUAUCUUGUUUAAUGUAUUCACUUCGAGUUUUGCUCAAUAAAAUUCAAUUUUGUCCAUUAUGAUAAUCUCUUUCGAGUAUUUUUGUUGAAAUCACGAUUUUUGGACUUAUAAUAUUCACACAAAAGAAGUUAUGCAUAUUACUAUGGAAAGUCUCUAAAUAGUACAAGGACCUAAAACAGGGCCACUAGUCAGGACUAACCAGGUUUAAAAGUUGGAAACAUUUGAAAAAGAGUAGUCCUAAUUGUGACUAUUCCUUCAAAUUUUCUGUCAAAGAUGACAACUAGACAAGAAGACGCGAUAGAACAUCAAUGAUAGAACCCGAAUGAACUAUGAGCAAUGAUACCUUAAGCUUUUAAAAAGGGAAUUACUAUCAUGACAUUUCUACAUUCAUAAUCAUUCAUUUAGUUAGGAGCACUUGAUUCACUUCGAUCAUGGCAUUCUAAUUAUUUGACAUAAGCACCACAUCUAGUUAGAAGCAUUUGACUCAUUUUGAGCAUGGCAUCCUAAUUAUUUGGCACAAUCAUAGAUACGGAAAACCAAUUCUACAAAUCAUGUCCUCAGAAGACGGUGUAGCAACAUUGGUGAAUUCUACAGAUCUUGUCUUCCUGAAGUUGCAGUGAAGCAGAUUUAAGCCACCAUCCUAGCUCCCUAAAGUUGUAGUGGAGUAGGCUGAAACUGUAGAUCUCGUUUCCCUGAAGUUGCAGUGGACUAGAUCGAAAGCGGUGAAUCAUGUCUUCCUGAAGUUGUAGUGAAGUAGAUUUAAGCCAUCAUCCUAUCUCCCUAAAGUUGUAGUUGAGUAGGCUGGAGAUUGCAGAUCUCGUCUCCAGUGGAGCAGAUCGAAGAAAAUGAGCCUUAACCCCCUAAGUAGUAGGGCAACAGGUCGAAAAUUGCAAAAUCUUGUCUCCCUGAGGUUGCAGUGGAGCAGAUCAAAGUCACAAUCCUUAUCUCUCUGAAGUUACAGUAGGGCAGGAUAAAAACACGUGAACCAUGUUUCCCUGAAGUUGCAGUAGAGCAUACUGAAGCUACCUGAAGAAAAGAAGCACCAAAAAAGUCAUGAUUCCGUGAAACCGAGAAAAAUUGGCCUUCUUUGAAGUCUUUGCUCUAUUCUCGUUACACGAUAAUGAGUAAAGUGGGGCAGCUGUAAACGGGUCAAUUUGCCCGGUCCCACGUCAGAACCAAAAUACAAAAUAAAGAAACAAAAAAACCAAUAAUUAAUUAAAUGUCCUGUUACAGUCCAAAGCCCAAAAUUAAUUCAAGACCUUAAAACCCAAAUAACCCCAAAUUAAAGACCCAAAUAUCCUACAGUCCAAUACUUAAUCCCAAUUACAUGACCCUAUAACUAAUACCCUAGCCCAUUUACAAAACAAUCCAAAGCCUCAAGGCCCACACAGCCCAAAAACUAAAACUGCUUCAGCAACCCUAUGUCACCCCUCCCUCCUUUGCGCUGUAGCCGAGCCCCUCAGCGCCGUACGCUCCGUACCGUCAGCAGCCACGCCCGCGCCAGCACAACUUCUGUACGAUGCCAACCCACACCCCGUGCCUGCUAGUAAGCCAAAACAACAGCAGCAACACGAAAACAAAAGGAAAAAUUGUAUUUUUUACUUUUUUUUGGAACAUUCGGCUAUAAAAGCCUACUAUCUUCGAUUGUAAAGUUUUUUUCAGAGGAAUACACACACAUUUUUGCAUAUUGAAUACAAAGAAAAGAAAUCAAAACCUUGAAAAGGUGAUUAUUCGGCUUUGGCCCUUCUUUCCUGUUUGUUUUCAUCUUCUUUUCUUAUUGUUUGGUUGCACAUACUGUCAUUUUGAGCAUAAAAAGGGGUAAAAGGAAGCAAAGGGGUUACUUAUAAGCACGAACCGCCGGGACGGGGUGUAAGGGCUGAAAUCGAAAGUCCUUAAAGUAAGGACCCAAGCAGGGUCAGCGAGAGUACAAAUCUCCCUCCGUCGAUCACCGUUCAGGGUGGUCAAGUGGCGGCUAGGACCUCUUGAGAUUCGAACAGAAGGGGGGGAUUAGGUUUCGGCUGAGGAGAAAGGAUUGGGGGGCUAGGGUUUGAAUGACUGUUUCAGUUUCAGCUCUUUUAAAG
rnacentral:lncRNA from 1 species